AGCGCCAGAAAUGCGCGCAAGCGCACACGGGCAGCUCCGUAAGCUUCAGGCCCACGCCGCGCAGGCGCGCUCCUGUUCGCUCGGCUGCGUGGGAGCGGAAUCCGGGAGCCCAGCCUGGACUUGAGGCAGGUCGGGAAGAUGCUGGGCACCAGCACUGCCUGCAGGGACAGAAGAAAAACUCUCUGAAGGAUUGUGCGGCAGUGGCUCGGCCCCGCGAGGUCACACACUCACUGAUUUGUGAGCAAAACGGAGACCAGUGUCUACUUUACGGUAACGACCCUCCCAGCAGGCCGCACCUUGACCUUCUGGACGUGGUGUCCCACAGUUUCGUUCACAAGGCAUUGGUGGAGCGCCGUGCCACUCUGGCAGCCAAGGAGCAUAAGCCACGGCUCAAGGCCCAGAGGUAGGACCAGCGGGACCAAACUGCAGGGUGCAAGGGGCAGCAGCGAGAGGCCCAGAAGAGGAAGAGCCUGGUGGACAUGAAGAGGGCACGGGCAGAGGCGAGGCCAACAGGGACAGUGAUGCUGAGGACCCUCGACUAACUGCGAACCGAAUUCCUGAAAAUGUAAUCAUCACUUCUUAAAAGCUGAUGUGGGCUGUUUGUAUCGCACAAGCAUUAUGGGAGACAACCAUUUUAUUGUGCAAAAGGAUGUUAUUUGGAAAUUCAGAAAGGACACAGAUAGAACCAGAAAAUUGGAGACUCAAGCAAUUUGACAAGGACAAAACCUUAAGCCAGAGGAGAGAAGACUGCCCUAGUCAUAACGCCAGAAGUGUUAAUGGGCUAAAAGUCAAGUCUUCAGAUUUCUACUCUACUGAGAAUUCUGUAGACAAUGAAUGUAGAAAUGCAACAACAAAAGAAAAGAAAGCGAACUGGUCUAUUGUGGUGUGAAAGUCAGGGGUCUUGUCAAUGUUAUCAUCUUAAUUGCUUCAUAAAA
rnacentral:lncRNA from 1 species